UACGUAGGGUGCAGGCGUUAAUCGGAAUUACUGGGCGUAAAGCGUGCGCAGGCGGUUUGCUAAGCGAGCUGUGAAAUCCCCGGGCUUAACCUGGGAACUGCGUUUCUAACUGGCAGGCUUGAGUGUGGCAGAGGGGGGUGGAAUUCCACGUGUAGCAGUGAAAUGCGUAGAGAUGUGGAGGAACACCGAUGGCGAAGGCAGCCCCCUGGGCUAACACUGACGCUCAUGCACGAAAGCGUGGGGAGCAAACAGG
rnacentral:rRNA from 1 species